AGCAGCCGCGGUAAUUCCAGCUCCAAUAGCGUAUAUUAAAGUUGUUGCAGUUAAAAAGCUCGUAGUUGAAUUUCGAGACCGGUUUACUGGUCGUGCUUUUGUACGUACUGGUAUUAUUGGUUUCUCCUUUCUGACGAAUCAUAAUGCCAUUAAUUUGGUGUUUUGGGGAAUCAGGACUGUUACUUUGAAAAAAUUAGAGUGUUUAAAGCAGGCUCACGCUUGAAUACAUUAGCAUGGAAUAACGGAAUAGGACGUUUGAUUUUAUUUUGUUGGUUUCUAGGAUCGACGUAAUGAUUAAUAGGGAUAGUUGGGGGCAUUAGUAUUCAAUUGUCAGAGGUGAAAUUCUUGGAUUUAUUGAAGACUAACUACUGCGAAAGCAUUUGCCAAGGAUGUUUUCAUUAAUCAAGAACGAAAGUUAGGGGAUCGAAGACGAUCAGAUACCGUCGUAGUCUUAACCAUAAACUAUG
rnacentral:rRNA from 1 species